GGGGAAUUUUGGACAAUGGGGGCAACCCUGAUCCAGCCAUGCCGCGUGUCUGAAGAAGGCCUUCGGGUUGUAAAGGACUUUUGUUAGGGAGCAAGUCCUGCAGGUUAAGAGCCAGUAGGGAUGAGAGUACCUAAAGAAUAAGCACCGGCUAACUACGUGCCAGCAGCCGCGGUAAUACGUAGGGUGCAAGCGUUAAUCGGAAUUACUGGGCGUAAAGGGUGCGCAGGCGGUAUUGUAAGCCAGAUGUGAAAUCCCCGGGCCCAACCUGGGAACUGCGUUUGGAACUGCAAUGCUAGAGUGUGUCAGAGGGGGGUGGAAUUCCACGUGUAGCAGUGAAAUGCGUAGAGAUGUGGAGGAACACCGAUGGCGAAGGCAGCCCCCUGGGAUAACACUGACGCUCAGGCACGAAAGCGUGGGGAGCAAAC
rnacentral:rRNA from 1 species